GGUUCCUACGGGAAGCAGUAGUGGGGAAUAUUGCACAAUGGGGGAAACCCUGAUGCAGCGACGCCGCGUGAAGGAAGAAGUAUUUCGGUAUGUAAACUUCUAUCAGCAGGGAAGAAAGUGACGGUACCUGACUAAGAAGCCCCGGCUAACUACGUGCCAGCAGCCGCGGUAAUACGUAGGGGGCAAGCGUUAUCCGGAUUUACUGGGUGUAAAGGGAGCGUAGACGGCAUGGCAAGUCAGAUGUGAAAGCCCGGGGCUCAACCCCGGGACUGCAUUUGAAACUGUCAGGCUGGAGUGCAGGAGAG
rnacentral:rRNA from 1 species